UCUAGAGAUAGAGUCUUCCCCUUCGGGGGACAAAGUGACAGGUGGUGCAUGGUUGUCGUCAGCUCGUGUCGUGAGAUGUUGGGUUAAGUCCCGCAACGAGCGCAACCCUUAAGCUUAGUUGCCAGCAUUAAGUUGGGCACUCUAAGUUGACUGCCGGUGACAAACCGGAGGAAGGUGGGGAUGACGUCAAAUCAUCAUGCCCCUUAUGAUUUGGGCUACACACGUGCUACAAUGGACAAUACAAAGGGCAGCUAAACCGUGAGGUCAUGCAAAUCCCAUAAAGUUGUUCUCAGUUCGGAUUGUAGUCUGCAACUCGACUACAUGAAGCUGGAAUCGCUAGUAAUCGUAGAUCAGCAUGCUACGGUGAAUACGUUCCCGGGUCUUGUACACACCGCCCGUCACACCACGAGAGUCUGUAACACCCGAAGCCGGUGGAGUAACCAUUUAUGGAGCUAGCCGUCGAAGGUGGGACAAAUGAUUGGGGUGAAGUCGUAACAAGGUAGCCGUAUCGGAAGGUGCG
rnacentral:rRNA from 1 species